rnacentral:rRNA from 1 species
AGGUAAGCUACUAAGAGCGAAUGGUGGAUGCCUUGACUGGUAAAGGCGAUGAAGGACGUACUAGACUGCGAUAAGCUACGGGGAGCUGUCAAGAAGCUUUGAUCCGUAGAUUUCCGAAUGGGGCAACCCAAUGUAUAGAGAUAUACAUUACCUAUAUAGGAGCGAACGAGGGGAAUUGAAACAUCUUAGUACCCUCAGGAAAAGAAAUCAAUAGAGAUUGCGUCAGUAGCGGCGAGCGAAAGCGCAAGAGGGCAAACCCAGUGCUUGCACUGGGGGUUGUAGGACUGCAAUGUGCAAGAGCUGAGUUUAGCAGAACAUUCUGGAAAGUAUAGCCAUAGAGGGUGAUAGUCCCGUAUGCGAAAAACAAAGCUUAGCUAGCAGUAUCCUGAGUAGGGCGGGACACGAGGAAUCCUGUCUGAAUCCGGGUCGACC